rnacentral:rRNA from 1 species
AUACGGAGGAUCCGAGCGUUAUCCGGAUUUAUUGGGUUUAAAGGGUGCGCAGGCGGCCAUUUAAGUCAGCGGUUAAAUCGUGGGGCUCAACCCCAUUCUGCCGUUGAUACUGGGUGGCUUGAUUGCGGUCGAGGUUGGCGGAAUUCGUUGUGUAGCGGUGAAAUGCAUAGAUAUGACGAAGAACACCGAUUGCGUAGGCAGCUGACCAGACCGCAAAUGACGCUCAUGCACGAAAGUGCGGGGAUCGAACAGGAUUAGAUACCCUGGUAGUCCGCACAGUAAACGAUGAAUACUUGUUUUCGGCGAUAUAAUGUCGGAGGCAAAGCGAAAGCGAUAAGUAUUCCACCUGGGGAGUACGCCGGCAACGGUGAAACUUAAAUGAAUUGGCGGGGG